rnacentral:lncRNA from 1 species
GGAAAUUGGCAGUUGAUUGAAAAAUACUUAAAAUAGAUAUGUUUUUAAAAAAUUUUUAAUAAAAGUUUUAUAGAAUAUUUUAGGAGCUGUAAAAUGAGCAAUGAAAACCCUCUUAUAUUAAGACUUGAGCUGCAAGGCAAGAGCAAUAGCCCUCUGUUUAGAGACCUACGAUAUUUGUAUUUAAAUAGGCGCCUAUUAGCAUGGCACGUUGAUCACCAACUUGAAGACAUUGUCCAGAUUUUCAGUGAAGAAAACUGGAAGACGAUAAGCUUUACUUGAACAGCUCUGUUUGAAGAUAUGGUUCGAGAAAGAAAAGAACAAAAAGAAUACACAAACUACUACUAAAUAACAAAAUUAAUUACCAGUAAGACAGAGUGGUAUAUUUUGGAAAGAAAUGGAUAUAAAAACAGCUUGCAAUAUUCUUUAUUUUACAUAAAAAGUCAGGGUAGUGAUCCACUGUUUAGAAAGACACAUUUUAAUUUUAGAUUUAAAAUUGCCAUUCCAAGAGAAAUACUAAAUUAUUGAAGCUUUCCAGCAGGAAUGGGCCUUCCUUCAUGAAUAUACAUACUAAAAUAGGCCAUAUUAUACUUGAAUUAUACAGGGCGAGUUAGUUUUGGACUUGAAAUUUGUUUAAAAUGU